CACCCACCCCGGGGGCUCCACACCCCUACACGCGCCCCGCCCCGUUUCUCCUGGACUCGAUGGAUUUCAGGCCACACGCACUGCUGAAAAUGAGAGGGCUGGUUCCAGUUCAAAGCCUUUCACCGACCUGAGCGCUCAGCCAGAAGUUCUGCAUCUGCAGCCUAUUAGCUCUCCUGAUAGCAUUUUGUUAUUCUCCUUGCAGCAGGAAAAACAAACAGCUGUCCCUCCCACAGUCUCUGCCUUCCUCCCAAGGUCGAAGAGGCUCUCCCCCAGGUGACCCCCUGUGACCCCAUGGAGUUCCUUCCUCUGCAGUGGCCUUGUCCUCCCAGUUGUCUAGUCUAGUCACCACCCUCCCGUUUCUGGCAUUUUCUGAUAAAUUACCUCAUUCCCCAUCCCCCUCUCCUUGUUCUGUCGCACUCUUCCCAGGUCCUAGACCCAGUGCUUCACAAUGGAUGCCGGUUGCCAGUGAUUUCCACGUUUGCUUUUUCCCACAGCAUGUAGGACGUUCAUUGUGGGCCACUUUCAGCAUCACUGUCAGGGGGCAACUUAAGCUUUAGGGAGGAGGAUGCAGGUGUGAUUGGGGGCUUUGGCUUCUCUCCCUAUAAUCUGCAUUGGAUCUCUCCCAAGCCAUCUCUAGCAGACAGAAUCGAUGUGGAGACUGUGUUCACAGUGCAGAUACAGCUCCC
ensembl:lncRNA